rnacentral:lncRNA from 1 species
UUUGUGAGGAGACAGCGGCGAGUGAGUAAUUUUCCUUAGCCAACGUACAAUCAUUGGCUAAUAAAAUAGAUUAACUACAAGCACGUAUAUCCUACCAAUGUGACUUGAAAAACUGCCAUAUCUUAUGUUUCACCAAGUCGUGGCUGAACAACAACAUGAAUAACAUACAGCUGGCAGUUUAUAAACUAUCGGCAGGAUAGAACCGUAGCCUCUGGGGCCUGUUGCACAAAAGUAGAAUUAAGACAUCCGGGAUAAAUGACUCAGCUGAGCUCAAUGAAGCCAAAACAUGUGCGUCCAGGCUUAAUUGGUUGCACAAAGACCAAGCCAGGAUGAGCAGACACGGAUUCAUUAAGCCAGGUGAAACCAAUCCUGGAUAGGUGCGCGCUCACGGCUCACUCAAAUAGACCCCGCCACAGAUCACAGAUUAACUGAUUUACCAUGGCAACUAGAGCCGCGUACUUUACCCUGUCGGAAGCACAAAUCCUCAUGGAGGCAUACGAGGAGGUAAAAUAUAUAAUUAAGAAGAAAGGCAACACCGCCACAGUGAUAAAGCAAAGAGAAAAAGCGUGGCAAAGAAUUGCAGACCGCCUGAAUGCGUAAGUAGUGCACAAUUACACACUCACCGCUCCGCUGAAACAUCACAAUUACAAUUCAAAUAUUUAAUUCACAUCUCCAAAAAUGCAGUUGUACUGUAAUUAUGAAACGGUUAAAUUUUUUAUUGAAAUGCACUGCAGAUAUGAGUGAAAUUGUGUAAAGUAACUCCAUCACACUGUAUAAAGCUAUGAUACAUUUUUUGAUAUUUUUACUGAAAACAAGACAAAAAUACCAAGUAAUUUUUUGCAGUGUGACUCCAUUAAAUGUGUGUGUGUGUGUGUGUGUGUGUGUGUGUGUGUGUGUGUGUGUGUGUGUGUAGAUUAAACAUGAACGGGCCAAAACGGACAAUGGCAGCAGGUCAAAAUCAAAUACAAGAACAUUCUGCAGAAUGCAGUGAAAAAGAAUACCCACAGACAAGGCACGGGUGGUGGGUCACCAAAGGCUGACCUUACCCCAGCAGAGGACAUGGCCUUAGAGCUAAAUAAAGGCAGGCCCGUCUUAGAGGGGAUCCCUGGGGGGAAAGAGACGAGCAUAGGUUCCUCCCAAGAUGCCACCCGCUUCAUUCAAGGUAUGUCCUUCCAUCUCUACAUGGGAUACAACCACAUUCAUAUUGAAUCAAUUUGGACUGUCUGACUUUGGUUUACCUAUUGCCUUGCAGUGUCUGGCAGCACUGUGUUCCUGUUAAAGCCACCAGCACAAGCACCAGACGAUGCUGAUCCAGUGAGUACUCCAUCAAAGGCAUACUGUAGGCCUGGCAUGUCUUGUCUACUAGCUUCAAUAUGAAUCCGAUUUAAAUGUGAUAGGGUGAAGGCCCCAGUGCAGCAGCAACAGCACAUGAUGGAGACGAUGAUGAGGAGGAGACCAUCUCUCUGGAUUCCAGAAGGCAUGAGGUAUCAUGUUAAGACUGUGAAAGUACUAUUUACUCUACAAUGGUGAGGAGUCCUCAUCAAAAUCAAAAAAUCUAAUUUCUUUUACAGGACCCAGAUGCUAUACAGUGGGAAAACCAGCCUGGCAACAUAGUGCGUAUUAAUAAAAGGACACCACAUCCUGCCAAAUUCCAGCUGCGCUAAUUGUAUUGUGUUCACAGAGCUCACAAGCUAUCAGAAAGUUGUAUGGCAACCACCUCCGGCGCCAAAUAGAACUGGCAGACAUAGACAUUCAGUACAAGAAGAAAAAGAUGGAAAAUCUUGCACUGGAGUUCGAAAUAAAAAAGAGGACAAUUAGGAAACUGGACCUUGAAAUAAAAAAACUUGAGAGGGAGGUGAGAUAUGCCUUCAAUGUACACUGUAUGCUAACUGUAACACAAAUGUAUUAAUCAUUAUUUUUCUUUCCUCCCCCAGCUCCAAGAAGAUGACACAGCUCUAAAUAAAAAUUAGGUAUAUUCUCGUAAAGUCAAGUGAGCCAUGACAUAUGAGCUCUUAUUGUGAGCACACAGGACGGUGGCAUCUUUCUAAGUUUUUUUUUCUUUUUCCCAGCAAUCAGUACAACCAAGUCAUCGUUAUAAGGCAUCGCCCUCUUUUGCCCACCCCCCCAGCACC